AUGGAGAUCCCAGCCGUCCGACUUCUAUGCCUGGAGCAACUGGACCGUUCGCUGGAGGACCAUACCAGGGACUUUUUCGAUCUGGCGUGCCUUACAGACUUCCCGGACCGCUCGCUCUGUGCGUUUUACUAUGCUGGCCUGAGCGAGCGGUGUAAGGCACGCCUCCCAGCGAACGGUCCCAGAGAGGAUUUCGCCGCGUUCGUGGAGUGGGUGCUGGAGCAAAACGGAGCUCCGUUCACCGUCUGCCCCGCUGAGGAGGAGAUCUCCAGCCCCACUCCCGACCCAGAGACCAGCCAGCCAUCACCCCGCUGCACGGAGCCAGAGACCGCCGCAGAGCCCGAGCCUAUCGCCGACAGGGAGGAGGAACUCGAGAGUGCGACUGACCAGGUGUGUGAGCCGGCAACCCCGUGCGUCGUGGGACGAUUGGUGGAGAUCGAGGGCGUGGAGGAGCGCCCCGCCCACACUCCUGCGACUGAGGGUGAGCUGCAUGCAGCUUCUGGGAAGUAUACAGAAAAACUUAUGGAUCUAAUAGACUGGUUUGGGGAGGUUAUUCCUGAUCCUUCUGUUUCUCCGCUGGUUCCGCCCAGCCCUGAUUCUCCUGUUUUUCCGCUGGUUCCGUCCAGCCCUGAUCCUUCUGUGUUCCCUCCCAUCCUCCCUCUCCCGCCUCCUCUUCGACCUGUCAGUUCCUCUGCUCCUCUUCCGCUGGUUCCGCCAGCCUCGACCUUCUGUUUCUCCGCUCGGUUCCGCCCAGUCCAGAUCCUUCUGUCUUUCCUCCCAUCCUCCCUCUCUCAUCUCGUCCUAGACCAGUCAGUUCCUCGUCCUCACCAGUCAGUUCCUCGUCCUCAUCCCGCUGGUGCCAGUCCAGUCCCGCAGCUCACCCUCAGUCCGCGCAGUUUCGCCGCAGGACUUCCAGUCACCACCUCCACCUGGGCGUGUGGAUUCCCUGUCUCCGCCUCCAGCCUCCGAAUCCUGGACUCCUCCUCGGUCCUUCGACCCGGCGGCUCCGCCUUGGCUCCUAGCUCCCUCGUCUCCACCGUGGCCCGGCAUCCCACCUGCUCCACCGGGCUCCCUCGUCCCUCCGGCUCCACCUUGGUCAGUCGUCGACCAUCCGCCGCCUCGGGACUCCAUUCCUCUGGCUUCGCCUCGUCGCUCCAUCCCUCCGGCUCUGUCAGGCUCCUCCUUCCCUUAGGCUCCACCCCCAUCCUCAGUCACUCCGGCUCCGCAGCGGUCUUCCGGUGCCCCGUCUCCGCCUUGGUCGCCUGA
rnacentral:lncRNA from 1 species